GGGGAUGACAGGUUUCGACGAUGUUAGUCGCGACAGGGGAAGCGGGCCGAGGAUUUACAAGGCUAUCUCGUAAACGCUCCUUGUAAAAAUAUAAGUGCCGAACAAAAACGCACUGACUUCGCUCUCGCUGCCUAAGCAGUAAGACCAAGUCCGUCAGCCCGGGAAUGCUCUCGUCCCGGAUCCUGGCGUCAUUUAGAGGGCCACUGCUCCUGAAACUCGUUACAGGUUUCAGGGGGACACUUAUGUAACUGAGCUUGGCAGCAGUCUGUUUGCAGAACUGCUGAAGCUGAGAAAAACCGACGCAAACUGCGCCCGGAGAAGCCCUGACUACACUGCAUCGGACGCGGGUUCAAUUCCCGCCAUCUCCACAC
rnacentral:tmRNA from 1 species